UGGGGAAUCUUCCGCAAUGGACGAAAGUCUGACGGAGCAACGCCGCGUGAGUGAUGACGGCCUUCGGGUUGUAAAGCUCUGUUAAUCGGGACGAAAGGCCUUCUUGCGAAUAGUUAGAAGGAUUGACGGUACCGGAAUAGAAAGCCACGACUAACUACGUGCCAGCAGCCGCGGUAAUACGUAGGUGGCAAGCGUUGUCCGGAAUUAUUGGGCGUAAAGCGCGCGCAGGCGGAUUGGUCAGUCUGUCUUAAAAGUUCGGGGCUUAACCCCGUGAUGGGAUGGAAACUGCCAAUCUAGAGUAUCGGAGAGGAAAGUGGAAUUCCUAGUGUAGCGGUGAAAUGCGUAGAUAUUAGGAAGAGCACCAGUGGCGAAGGCGACUUUCUGGACGAAAACUGGCGCUGAGGCGCGAAAGCCAGGGGAGCGAACGGGAUUAGAUACCCCGGUAGUCCUGGCCGUAAACGAUGGGUACUAGGUGUAGGAGGUAUCGACCCCUUCUGUGCCGGAGUUAACGCAAUAAGUACCCCGCCUGGGGAGUACGACCGCAAGGUUG
rnacentral:rRNA from 1 species